AGCGAACGUUAGCGGCGGGCCUAACACAUGCAAGUCGAGCGAGAACGGGGCUUCGGCUCCUAGUAAAGCGGCGGACGGGUGAGUAACACGUAGGUAAUCUUCCCUCGAGCGGGGGACAACGGUCCGAAAGGACCGCUAAUACCGCAUACGUUCUCCGAGACUCCGGUCUUGGAGAGGAAAGCUAGGUAGCAAUAUCCGGCACUCGAGGAGGAGCCUGCGUCGCAUCAGCUAGUUGGUGGGGUAAUGGCAUACCAAGGCGAAGACGCGUAGCUGGUCUGAGAGGAUGAUCAGCCACACUGGGACUGAGACACGGCCCAGACUCCUACGGGAGGCAGCAGUGGGGAAUAUUGGACAAUGGGCGCAAGCCUGAUCCAGCCACGCCGCGUGAGUGAUGAAGGCCUUCGGGUCGUAAAGCUCUGUGGGGAGGGACGAACCGCUGCAGGUUAAUACCCUGCAGCAUGACGGUACCUCCUUAGCAAGCACCGGCUAACUUCGUGCCAGCAGCCGCAGUAAAAC
rnacentral:rRNA from 1 species